rnacentral:rRNA from 1 species
UACGGGGGGGGCAAGCGUUGUUCGGAAUUACUGGGCGUAAAGGGUUCGUAGGUGGCUUGCUAAGUCAGACGUGAAAUCCCUCAGCUUAACUGGGGAACUGCGUCUGAUACUGGCGAGCUUGAGUGCAGGAGAGGAACGCAGAAUUCCAGGUGUAGCGGUGAAAUGCGUAGAGAUCGGGAGGAACACCAGUGGCGAAAGCGGCUCUCUGGUCCAAAACUGACGCUGAGGGGCGAAAGCGUGGGGAGCGAACGGG